GGGUUGUGAGGUUAAGCGACUAAGCGUACACGGUGGAUGCCCUGGCAGUCAGAGGCGAUGAAGGACGUGCUAAUCUGCGAUAAGCGUCGGUAAGGUGAUAUGAACCGUUAUAACCGGCGAUUUCCGAAUGGGGAAACCCAGUGUGAUUCGUCACACUAUCAUUAACUGAAUCCAUAGGUUAAUGAGGCGAACCGGGGGAACUGAAACAUCUAAGUACCCCGAGGAAAAGAAAUCAACCGAGAUUCCCCCAGUAGCGGCGAGCGAACGGGGAGCAGCCCAGAGCCUGAAUCAGUGUGUGUGUUAGUGGAAGCGUCUGGAAAGGCGCGCGAUACAGGGUGACAGCCCCGUACACAAAAAUGCACAUACUGUGAGCUCGAUGAGUAGGGCGGGACACGUGGUAUCCUGUCUGAAUAUGGGGGGACCAUCCUCCAAGGCUAAAUACUCCUGACUGACCGAUAGUGAACCAGUACCGUGAGGGAAAGGCGAAAAGAACCCCGGCGAGGGGAGUGAAAAAGAACCUGAAACCGUGUACGUACAAGCAGUGGGAGCACGCUUAGGCGUGUGACUGCGUACCUUUUGUAUAAUGGGUCAGCGACUUAUAUUCUGUAGCAAGGUUAACCGAAUAGGGGAGCCGAAGGGAAACCGAGUCUUAACUGGGCGUUAAGUUGCAGGGUAUAGACCCGAAACCCGGUGAUCUAGCCAUGGGCAGGUUGAAGGUUGGGUAACACUAACUGGAGGACCGAACCGACUAAUGUUGAAAAAUUAGCGGAUGACUUGUGGCUGGGGGUGAAAGGCCAAUCAAACCGGGAGAUAGCUGGUUCUCCCCGAAAGCUAUUUAGGUAGCGCCUCGUGAAUUCAUCUCCGGGGGUAGAGCACUGUUUCGGCAAGGGGGUCAUCCCGACUUACCAACCCGAUGCAAACUGCGAAUACCGGAGAAUGUUAUCACGGGAGACACACGGCGGGUGCUAACGUCCGUCGUGAAGAGGGAAACAACCCAGACCGCCAGCUAAGGUCCCAAAGUCAUGGUUAAGUGGGAAACGAUGUGGGAAGGCCCAGACAGCCAGGAUGUUGGCUUAGAAGCAGCCAUCAUUUAAAGAAAGCGUAAUAGCUCACUGGUCGAGUCGGCCUGCGCGGAAGAUGUAACGGGGCUAAACCAUGCACCGAAGCUGCGGCAGCGACGCUUAUGCGUUGUUGGGUAGGGGAGCGUUCUGUAAGCCUGCGAAGGUGUGCUGUGAGGCAUGCUGGAGGUAUCAGAAGUGCGAAUGCUGACAUAAGUAACGAUAAAGCGGGUGAAAAGCCCGCUCGCCGGAAGACCAAGGGUUCCUGUCCAACGUUAAUCGGGGCAGGGUGAGUCGACCCCUAAGGCGAGGCCGAAAGGCGUAGUCGAUGGGAAACAGGUUAAUAUUCCUGUACUUGGUGUUACUGCGAAGGGGGGACGGAGAAGGCUAUGUUGGCCGGGCGACGGUUGUCCCGGUUUAAGCGUGUAGGCUGGUUUUCCAGGCAAAUCCGGAAAAUCAAGGCUGAGGCGUGAUGACGAGGCACUACGGUGCUGAAGCAACAAAUGCCCUGCUUCCAGGAAAAGCCUCUAAGCAUCAGGUAACAUCAAAUCGUACCCCAAACCGACACAGGUGGUCAGGUAGAGAAUACCAAGGCGCUUGAGAGAACUCGGGUGAAGGAACUAGGCAAAAUGGUGCCGUAACUUCGGGAGAAGGCACGCUGAUAUGUAGGUGAAGUCCCUCGCGGAUGGAGCUGAAAUCAGUCGAAGAUACCAGCUGGCUGCAACUGUUUAUUAAAAACACAGCACUGUGCAAACACGAAAGUGGACGUAUACGGUGUGACGCCUGCCCGGUGCCGGAAGGUUAAUUGAUGGGGUUAGCGCAAGCGAAGCUCUUGAUCGAAGCCCCGGUAAACGGCGGCCGUAACUAUAACGGUCCUAAGGUAGCGAAAUUCCUUGUCGGGUAAGUUCCGACCUGCACGAAUGGCGUAAUGAUGGCCAGGCUGUCUCCACCCGAGACUCAGUGAAAUUGAACUCGCUGUGAAGAUGCAGUGUACCCGCGGCAAGACGGAAAGACCCCGUGAACCUUUACUAUAGCUUGACACUGAACAUUGAGCCUUGAUGUGUAGGAUAGGUGGGAGGCUUUGAAGUGUGGACGCCAGUCUGCAUGGAGCCGACCUUGAAAUACCACCCUUUAAUGUUUGAUGUUCUAACGUUGACCCGUAAUCCGGGUUGCGGACAGUGUCUGGUGGGUAGUUUGACUGGGGCGGUCUCCUCCUAAAGAGUAACGGAGGAGCACGAAGGUUGGCUAAUCCUGGUCGGACAUCAGGAGGUUAGUGCAAUGGCAUAAGCCAGCUUGACUGCGAGCGUGACGGCGCGAGCAGGUGCGAAAGCAGGUCAUAGUGAUCCGGUGGUUCUGAAUGGAAGGGCCAUCGCUCAACGGAUAAAAGGUACUCCGGGGAUAACAGGCUGAUACCGCCCAAGAGUUCAUAUCGACGGCGGUGUUUGGCACCUCGAUGUCGGCUCAUCACAUCCUGGGGCUGAAGUAGGUCCCAAGGGUAUGGCUGUUCGCCAUUUAAAGUGGUACGCGAGCUGGGUUUAGAACGUCGUGAGACAGUUCGGUCCCUAUCUGCCGUGGGCGCUGGAGAACUGAGGGGGGCUGCUCCUAGUACGAGAGGACCGGAGUGGACGCAUCACUGGUGUUCGGGUUGUCAUGCCAAUGGCACUGCCCGGUAGCUAAAUGCGGAAGAGAUAAGUGCUGAAAGCAUCUAAGCACGAAACUUGCCCCGAGAUGAGUUCUCCCUGACUCCUUGAGAGUCCUGAAGGAACGUUGAAGACGACGACGUUGAUAGGCCGGGUGUGUAAGCGCAGCGAUGCGUUGAGCUAACCGGUACUAAUGAACCGUGAGGCUUAACCUUACAACGCCGAAGGUGUUU
rnacentral:rRNA from 2 species